rnacentral:rRNA from 1 species
UGGGGAAUAUUGCACAAUGGACGGAAGUCUGAUGCAGCAACGCCGCGUGCGGGAUGACGGCCUUCGGGUUGUAAACCGCUUUUUCUCAUGACGAAGUUUUUUGACGGUAGUGGGGGAAGAAGCACCGGCUAACUACGUGCCAGCAGCCGCGGUGCUACGUAGGGUGCGAGCGUUGUCCGGAAUUAUUGGGCGUAAAGAGCUUGUAGGCGGUUUGUCGCGUCGAUAGUGCAAACUCAGUGCUUAACGCUGAGCCUGCUGUUGAUACGGGCAGACUAGAGGAAGGUAGGGGAGAAUGGAAUUCCCGGUGGAGCGGUGGAAUGCGCCGAUAUCGGGAGGAACACCGGUGGCGAAGGCGGUUCUCUGGGCCUUUCCUGACGCUGAGAAGCGAAAGCGUGGGGAGCGAACAGG